rnacentral:rRNA from 1 species
GACGAACGCUGGCGGCGUGCUUAACACAUGCAAGUCGAACGGAAAGGCCCCUUUGGGGGUACUCGAGUGGCGAACGGGUGAGUAACACGUGAGUAACCUGCCCUUGACUUCGGGAUAACUUCAGGAAACUGGGGCUAAUACCGGAUAGGAAUCCUUGCUGCAUGGUGGGGGUUGGAAAGCUUCGGCGGUUUUGGAUGGACUCGCGGCUUAUCAGCUUGUUGGUGGGGUAGUGGCUUACCAAGGCUUUGACGGGUAGCCGGCCUGAGAGGGCGACCGGCCACAUUGGGACUGAGAUACGGCCCAGACUCCUACGGGAGGCAGCAGUGGGGAAUAUUGCACAAUGGGCGGAAGCCUGAUGCAGCAACGCCGUGUGCGGGAUGACGGCCUUCGGGUUGUAAACCGCUUUCAGCAGGGGCGAAGCUUGUGGUGACGGUACCUGCAGAAGAAGCACCGGCUAACUACGUG